rnacentral:tRNA from 1 species
UUUCAUAUAGUCUAAUGUAGAAUUUAACCCUGAAGAGGUUAAGGUAGUGUAUCGGUGCUUGUGAAUA